GGGCCCGCACAAGCGGUGGAGCAUGUGGUUUAAUUCGAUGAUACGCGAGGAACCUUACCAGGGCUUAAAUGUAGUGGGACAGGUCUAGAGAUAGACCCUUCUUCGGACUCAUUACAAGGUGCUGCAUGGUUGUCGUCAGCUCGUGCCGUGAGGUGUCAGGUUAAGUCCUAUAACGAGCGCAACCCCUAUCGUUAGUUGCCAGCGAGUAAUGUCGGGAACUCUAACGAAACUGCCAGUGCAAACUGUGAGGAAGGUGGGGAUGACGUCAAAUCAUCACGGCCCUUACGUCCUGGGCUACACACGUGCUACAAUGGCCGGUACAGAGAGCAGCCACUACGCGAGUAGGAGCGAAUCUAUAAAACCGGUCUCAGUUCGGAUCGCAGUCUGCAACUCGACUGCGUGAAGCUGGAAUCGCUAGUAAUCG
rnacentral:rRNA from 1 species